GAUUUCUGAUUCGGUCACUCUAGCCCGCCACGGUUUCGUGUGUGAGUGCUGGAACGUGUCCGAUCAUCCGUUCUAGAGCACGCCUCUGCUAUUCAUUUAGUGGAGUCGCGUUGCGCCUAGAUCUUUUACUUUGAAAAAAUUAGAGUGUUUAAAGCAGGCUUUUGCUAUGAAUACAUUAGCAUGGAAUAAUAAUCUAGGACUUCGGUUCUAUUUUGUUGGUUUCUAUAACUGAAGUAAUGAUUGAUAGGGAUAGUUGGGGGUGCUAGUAUUGGCCGGCCAGAGGUGAAAUUCUUGGAUUCGGUCAAGACUAACUUAUGCGAAAGCAUU
rnacentral:rRNA from 1 species